CGGGACACGUGGUAUCCUGUCUGAAUAUGGGGGGACCAUCCUCCAAGGCUAAAUACUCCUGACUGACCGAUAGUGAACCAGUACCGUGAGGGAAAGGCGAAAAGAACCCCGGCGAGGGGAGUGAAAAAGAACCUGAAACCGUGUACGUACAAGCAGUGGGAGCCUCUUAAUGGGGUGACUGCGUACCUUUUGUAUAAUGGGUCAGCGACUUAUAUUCUGUAGCAAGGUUAACCGAAUAGGGGAGCCGAAGGGAAACCGAGUCUUAACUGGGCGUUAAGUUGCAGGGUAUAGACCCGAAACCCGGUGAUCUAGCCAUGGGCAGGUUGAAGGUUGGGUAACACUAACUGGAGGACCGAACCGACUAAUGUUGAAAAAUUAGCGGAUGACUUGUGGCUGGGGGUGAAAGGCCAAUCAAACCGGGAGAUAGCUGGUUCUCCCCGAAAGCUAUUUAGGUAGCGCCUCGUGAAUUCAUCUCCGGGGGUAGAGCACUGUUUCGGCAAGGGGGUCAUCCCGACUUACCAACCCGAUGCAAACUGCGAAUACCGGAGAAUGUUAUCACGGGAGACACACGGCGGGUGCUAACGUCCGUCGUGAAG
rnacentral:rRNA from 1 species